CAGCCGCCACGGUAAUCCGUAGGUGGCAAGCGUUGUCCGGAAUUAUUGGGCGUAAAGCGCGCGCAGGUGGUUUAAUAAGUCUGAUGUGAAAGCCCACGGCUCAACCGUGGAGGGUCAUUGGAAACUGUUAAACUUGAGUGCAGGAGAGAAAAGUGGAAUUCCUAGUGUAGCGGUGAAAUGCGUAGAGAUUAGGAGGAACACCAGUGGCGAAGGCGGCUUUCUGGACUGUAACUGGCGCUGAGGCUCGAAAGCCAGGGGAGCGAACGGGAUUAGAUACCCCAGUAGUCCCUGUCUCUUAUAA
rnacentral:rRNA from 1 species